UUCCGUAGGUGAACCUGCGGAGGGAUCAUUACCGAGUUUACAACUCCCGAACCCCUGUGAACAUACCUAUACGUUGCCUCGGCGGAUCAGCCCGCGCCCCGUAAAAAGGGACGGCCCGCCCGAGGACCCCUAAACUCUGUUUUUAGUGGAACUUCUGAGUAAAACAAACAAAUAAAUCAAAACUUUCAACAACGGAUCUCUUGGUUCUGGCAUCGAUGAAGAACGCAGCAAAAUGCGAUAAGUAAUGUGAAUUGCAGAAUUCAGUGAAUCAUCGAAUCUUUGAACGCACAUUGCGCCCGCCAGUAUUCUGGCGGGCAUGCCUGUUCGAGCGUCAUUUCAACCCUCAAGCUCAGCUUGGUGUUGGGACUCGCGGUAACCCGCGUUCCCCAAAUCGAUUGGCGGUCACGUCGAGCUUCCAUAGCGUAGUAAUCAUACACCUCGUUACUGGUAAUCGUCGCGGCCACGCCGUAAAACCCCAACUUCUGAAUGUUGACCUCGGAUCAGGUAGGAAUACCCGCUGAACUUAAGCAUAUCAAUAAG
rnacentral:rRNA from 1 species